rnacentral:rRNA from 1 species
CGUUCCCGGGCCUUGUACACACCGCCCGUCACACCACGAAAGUCGGCAAUACCCGAAGCCGGUGGCCUAACCCGCAAGGGAGGGAGCCGUCGAAGGUAGGGUCGAUGAUUGGGGUG